rnacentral:rRNA from 1 species
AGAGUUUGAUCAUGGCUCAGAUUGAACGCUGGCGGCAGGCCUAACACAUGCAAGUCGAGCGGGGUUUUCGGACCUAGCGGCGGACGGGUGAGUAAUGCGUAGGAAGCUACCCGACAGAGGGGGAUACCAGUUGGAAACGACUGUUAAUACCACAUAAUGUCUACGGACCAAAGUGUGGGACCUUCGGGCCACAUGCUAUCGGAUGCGCCUACGUGGGAUUAGCUAGUUGGUGAGGUAACGGCUCACCAAGGCGACGAUCCCUAGCUGGUUUGAGAGGACGAUCCGCCACACUGGAACUGAGACACGGUCCAGACUCCUACGGGAGGCAGCAGUGGGGAAUUUUGGACAAUGGGGGCAACCCUGAUCCAGCAAUGCCGCGUGAGUGAAGAAGGCCUUCGGGUUGUAAAGCUCUUUUGUCAGGGAAGAAAUCCUUAGUGCUAAUAUCACUGAGGGAUGACGGUACCUGAAGAAUAAGCACCGGCUAACUACGUGCCAGCAGCCGCGGUAAUACGUAGGGUGCGAGCGUUAAUCGGAAUUACUGGGCGUAAAGCGUGCGCAGGCGGUCUGAUAAGACAGUCGUGAAAUCCCCGAGCUUAACUUGGGAACUGCGAUUGUAACUGUCAGACUAGAGUGUGUCAGAGGGAGGUAGAAUUCCACGUGUAGCAGUGAAGUGCGUAGAGAUGUGGAGGAAUACCGGUGGCGAAAGCGGCCUCCUGGGAUAACACUGACGCUCAUGUACGAAAGCGUGGGGAGCAAACAGGAUUAGAUACCCUGGUAGUCCACGCCCUAAACGAUGUCAACUGGUUGUUGGGCCUUCAUUGGCUUAGUAACGAAGCUAACGCGUGAAGUUGACCGCCUGGGGAGUACGGUCGCAAGAUUAAAACUCAAAUGAAUUGACGGGGACCCGCACAAGCGGUGGAUGAUGUGGAUUAAUUCGAUGCAACGCGAAAAACCUUACCUACCCUUGACAUGCCACUAACGAAGCAGAGAUGCAUUAGGUGCUCGAAAGAGAAAGUGGACACAGGUGCUGCAUGGCUGUCGUCAGCUCGUGUCGUGAGAUGUUGGGUUAAGUCCCGCAACGAGCGCAACCCUUGUCGUUAAUUGCCAUCAUUAAGUUGGGCACUUUAGCGAGGCGGCGGGGUGACAAACCGGAGGAAGGUGGGGAUGACGCCAAGUCCUCAUGGCCCUUAUGGGUAGGGCUUCACACGUCAUACAAUGGUCGGUACAAAGGGUUGCCAAGCCGCGAGGUGGAGCCAAUCCCAUAAAACCGAUCGUAGUCCGGAUUGGAGUCUGCAACUCGACUCCAUGAAGUCGGAAUCGCUAGUAAUCGUGGAUCAGAAUGUCACGGUGAAUAC